GUAGGUGAACCUGCGGAAGGAUCAUUAUUGAAUAAAUUUAAUAGGUUGUAGCUGGCUCUUUUGGAGCAUGUGCACGCCUGUUAUUUUAUCUUCUCCACCUGUGCACUAUUUGUAGACUUGGAUAUCUCUCGAGGAAACUCGGUUAGGAUCUGCUGUGCCCCAAAGGCCAGCUUGUCUUUACAUUUCCAGUCUAUGUUUUACAUACACCAUAUCUAUGUCAUUGAAUGUUCAAUUGGCUUAUAGCCUAUAAACAUAAAUACAACUUUCAGCAACGGAUCUCUUGGCUCUC
rnacentral:misc_RNA from 1 species